AUGGGAGACAAAUACAAAGAUAAAGAACCCACUGCAUUGGAUUUGUUCAAGGAGUGCCACUAUAGCAAGAAAAAGAAAAGCUACACCGAUGUUGUCCAAGCUGCAAUUACCGAGAUGGAAAACAAGGCCUCUCAGCCUACAGAAGAUGGACAAGAAUCAAACUCUAUGACCAAGGCUGUAGCUGAAGUGCUUGCUAACCACACUAAGAAGCCAAGGUUUCUACAGCAUGUGGGGAUCCAGCAUGUCCAUGCGAGAUCUAGCGAUAGCAACUGUCAAGCAGAAUUGGCAAAGAGGGGCAAUGUCGAGCUUCGGGCUCUUGUUGACACCUUGACCAAGCAGUUGAAGGAGUUCGAAGAAGCAAGGAUCAGGCAAGACGAGGAGCACAGGAAGAGAGAUGAGGAGAACAGGAAGAAGCAAGCUGAGAUGGAUGCAAAACUAGACUUUUUGCUAAGUCAGUUGCAAGCAAGAUCAACUCAAGGGUAA
rnacentral:rRNA from 1 species